CGGAGUUCUGAUGGGAUCCAG
rnacentral:snRNA from 1 species